UACGUAGGGCGCGAGCGUUGUCCGGAAUUAUUGGGCGUAAAGAGCUCGUAGGCGGCCUGUUGCGUCCGCUGUGAAAUCCCGGGGCUUAACCCCGGGCGUGCAGUGGAUACGGGCUGGCUGGAGGCAGGCAGGGGAGAACGGAAUUCCCGGUGUAGCGGUGAAAUGCGCAGAUAUCGGGAGGAACACCGGUGGCGAAGGCGGGUCUCUGGACAGUUCCUGACACUGAGGCACGAAGGCCAGGGGAGCAAACGGG
rnacentral:rRNA from 1 species